GAUGAACGCUAGCGGCAGGCCUAAUACAUGCAAGUCGAACGGAUGUAGCAAUACAUUAGUGGCGUACGGGUGCGUAACGCGUAAACAAUCUACCUCAUACUGGGGGAUAGCCCUGGGAAACCGGGAGUAAGCCCGCAUGGUACCACGAGAUUUCAUGGUUUUGUGGUUAAAGAUUUAUCGGUAUGAGAUGAGUUUGCGUCUGAUUAGUUAGUUGGCGGGGUAACGGCCCACCAAGACGAUGAUCAGUAGGGGCUCUGAGAGGAGCGGCCCCCACACUGGCACUGAGACACGGGCCAGACUCCUACGGGAGGCAGCAGUAGGGAAUAUUGGGCAAUGGAGGCAACUCUGACCCAGCCAUGCCGCGUGCAGGAAGACGGCGCUCAGCGUUGUAAACUGCUUUUAUCUGGGAAGAAAAGCCGUUCUGCGGAAUGGUGUGACGGUACCAGAGGAAUAAGCACCGGCUAAACUCCGUGCCAGCAGCCGCG
rnacentral:rRNA from 1 species